CCGACUCCCUGCCCUCCCCAGUGUGGUUAUUUGAGAAAAGGCAGCUUGGGUGAGGGGGAAGGGAUUGGGGCUGAGAGGGGUAUAGUCUGCCUCCCCACCCACGGCUGGUGGAACCUGAGGGCCCCCGGCGCCACCAGAGCUUCGUGGCUUAAUGGGGGAGGCGAGGAGCCACUGCGGACCUGCUCGGGACAGUGAAGGGCGCCAGUCUCAGCCCUCAUCUGAAACCUGCUCCGUGACCCUGGACUAGUUCCUGCUCCUCUCUGGACCAAAUCCUGGCCCUGCUCCUUUCUGGCUGAGUAACUUUGGGAGGCAGGGGCAGUAUUAUCAUCUCCAUUUUACGAGGAGGAAAAGCAAGCAAUGUACCCAAGUUCCCACAGCUAAAAAGAAUUCUGUCUGUCCUCAGAGCUGUGCCCUGAAACCCUCUGCCCUGCUGAAGAAUGGAGAGGACUCCCCCACCAGCACCUCCACCUAGGACACAUGGGAACUGUGGGACUUGGAGCAAAGUUUUCAAGUCUCUGUGCCUUAGUUUCCUCACCUGUAAGUUGGGGGAAUGAUAGUAACUGCUCUUAAGAGCUGCUGUAGGAAUUGAGAUCUUGCAUGAAAAAGGAUAAAACCAAUUGAUAUGGUUUAGUUCUUAGUCCCCACCCAAAUCUCAUGUCCAGUUAUGAUCCUCAGUGUAGGAGGAGGGACCUCGUGGGAGGUGAUUGGAUCGUGGGGGCAGUUUCUAAUGUUUUAGCACCAUCCUCCUAGUGCUGCUUGUUUAAAAGUGUGUAGCACCCCACCUUCCUCUCCUGCCGGCCAUGUGAAGACGUGCUUGCUUCCCUUUCACCAUCUGCCAUGAUUGUAAGUUUCCUGAGGUCUCCCCAGAAGCAGAAGCCUGUAUAGCCCACAGAAUCAUGAGCUGAUUAAACCUCUUUUCUUUAUAAAUUA
ensembl:lncRNA CEACAM16-AS1 CEACAM16, CEACAM19 and PVR antisense RNA 1